AGAGUCAGCGAGGCGGUUGCGGAUUCAAGGUUUGAAUCUGAGGAAAGUCCGGACUCCCAAAAACUCAGACUUGCUGGAUAAUGCCCAGUGCGCGUGAGCGUGAGGAUAGUGCCACAGAAAAAUACCGCCCGUGAAUACGGGUAAGGGUGCAAAGGUGCGGUAAGAGCGCACCAGCAGUAUCGAGAGGUACUGGCUCGGUAAACCCCGGUCGGGAGCAAGGUCGGACGAAACAAGGGUUGAGUUUUUUCCUGUUUCGGCAGUUCACCCCCUUCUUCGGAAGGCAAGUGAACGAGAACCGCAUGAGGUUGAAGGCAACUUCAAUCCCAGAUAGAUAACUGCCCUCCAGUGCAGCGCAUUGGUAGAACAGAAUCCGGCUUAUGUCUAACUCUUCUC
rnacentral:RNase_P_RNA from 1 species